rnacentral:rRNA from 1 species
AUGGUCCAACUACAGAACUUCUUCUUUUUCAUUACUUCCAUGGUCGUGCCCCGUGGCACGGCAGCACCCGUACUAUUGAAAUGGUUCGUCAGUAGAGAUGUUCCCACUGGUGCCUCUUCUUCCAAUGGUACUAUAAUUCCUAUUCCUAUCCCUUUAUUCCCUUUUUUGGUCUAUCUACAUUUAAGGAAAUUCAUACGCUCCAUGGACAGAGCAAAAAGUGGAGUGUUGGUCAAAGCAAGCCGCCCUAUUCUAUUACCAGACAAAAUGGAGAGAAGCUCAUCCGCUAGAAAUGCUUUAUUUCGUUUCGUUCCCGUUCUUCAUUUCCUUAUUAUCGAAUCCAUGGGGGACUUGUCAUAUUUAGAAUCUUUCUGCGGUCUGCUCUGUUUACAAUUCUUUCGUACUCUCUUCUCUUUACCACGCGAUAGGUCAGCGAAGCGUGAGCGGGCGCUUCGAAGUAAAGGCCAAACACUUCGGCCUAAGGGGAAUGAGCAACAAAAUGACAAGAUGAGGUGCCCCGGGCACCCCCAUAUAGAAAGAAGGGUCGAAGGUUUUGGGCCUGUAGCUUUCCCCGCCCCCCCCCCCUCGUCGAGUGGUGCUUGUUUGGGGGGUGUGCCACCAGAAAGCGGGCUUGAAGCUCUCGCCUUACCAACGAGCCGACUGCUGAUAGCUGUUGGUCACGACUACUACAAAAAAGUGAAGAUGAAUCUUUCUAUUUCACAUGCAGGAGUGUGCAUCUUUAUGUUGGGUGUUCUUCUGUCGUGCGACCCGAUGGCUUAUGUGCGACCUGUGGCCCACGCCUCCUAUUCUAUUUGUUCAGGGCGGGCGGCAUGA